rnacentral:rRNA from 1 species
AUGGACGCCCCGUCGAUGGCGCUCUACAACCAGCUCAAUGCUGCCCAACCAUUCUUCUUGUUAGCUGGGCCCAAUGUGAUCGAAUCAGAGGAACAUGUCAUGAAGAUGGCCAAACACAUCAAAGCCAUCACAACCAAGCUUGGGGUGCCUCUUGUGUUCAAAUCAAGCUUUGAUAAAGCAAACCGUACAUCGUCGAAAUCCUUCCGCGGUCCUGAUCCUUGA